rnacentral:lncRNA from 1 species
AAAAAUGAACACAAGGAUUUUUCAGCCGAAGCCCCAAAGGUUCGACGACCACUUCUAAUGCCUAAUCCCCUGUUGAGCAUCCAUUAAAAUGGAUAAAGCUCGGUUACACUAGAAAGCCCCAAAAAUAGGCAUUAAAUAUACAAUAAUAUUCCAAAAUUAUCACAAGUAUCAAGUCACUAAGACUUAUCUUAUGAGAAUCAACACGGCAGACACGAUUCCACAAAGAAAUCACUGACCAGAUUACACAACUAUUACAUCACAGUUUUUGCCAUCAAAGAAUCACCCAUCUUUUAAGAGAAAACAAAAAAUAAAUGGUAUUCCACCAAGGAACCAACUGAGAUCACCAAGAUCUCAAAAAAUCGAACUGCUCUUCUUUAAAAUCACUUCGCAUAAGACACAUAACACAGAAUAAAUCGUGCUCCACGGAGGAAUGUAUGUAUCUAUCGUAUUACUUGAGUUUUCUAGUAAUAUUUUCAACAAAAAUCCUUCAAGAACCCAAACCCUAAUCACUAGAAGAAGAGGGAGUUUCUUUCGUAACAGAGAAGUGAGAGAAGAGAGAGAGACUUUUUCUUUUCUUGAAAGUGAGAAGAAAGUUAAUUGCUGGAAGAAAAGUCUUGCCUCAAUUAAUGUGUAUCUUUCAAAUAUCACAUGGUUAGGUAUAAGAAUCUAGAAUAGAUCCAAUGGUGAAGAGAAAAAAAAAACACGUUUCUUUCCUU